rnacentral:lncRNA from 1 species
GCCCCGCCUUUGUUUACUGUAUUGAGCUGCCUGGACUAAAGAUUUGACUGUAUUUGGGUACAAGCCAUCUCUGUCUGAAAUUUAUUGAUUGAAACAGAUUGUUCUCUUGAGUCCUUUUUUUUUAAAAAAAACUCCAUAACGUGGCCUUCAAACAAUAAGCCUGUAACUUUGGAAUUUAUAUAAGGAUGUAAAGCAGAAAACGGAGCUCUUCAGAGUAGGCAAGAAGAUGAGUUAACAGCCUCAAAACCAAGAAUUUUUUUAUUAAAUAUCAGGCAUGUAAAUGUAUCUACUUCUGUGAGGGAGACUAUACCAUCUUUGAAAAGGCUGCUUUCCUGAAAUUGCAAUGAACUCCAUUCUUAAGUUUUAAUUUUUAAAACUUUAUUAAAGCUGGUUGGGCAAAAUAGUCAUUUUGCCUAGCUCUCUAUAUCUAAGGGAAGUGGAUAUGAGGCUAUGGCUUUAGUAUUGACCUUGUGAACAUAGCACAGAAACCUGUAGCAUGCACAGUCUUUAAUUGGCCAUACUGAGCUUUUCAUCAAAAUCCCAUACUGAUUGUUGCCUUUGCUUUCCCACCCUCUUUUAACUGAUAAGCUUUUCACCCUUCAGAACAGCUCAUGCAUCCACAUUUAAAGCUUUCCCUAAUUUUCCAAAUUCCACCCUAACUCUCCUCACCCCUACUUUUGUUCCUAGAAUCAAUUUCUUUUACUUCAUUUACUUAUUUCUUCUGAAUCCAAAUCCCCUUGAGGACACCAUAAAGCCAGUACUUAACACAAAGCUUGACUUGAUGGACGUGCUCAAUAACUGUUUGGACAACGGGGUAACUGGAGCUUGAAGAAAAUGAUUCAUGAUAACGAAGUCAAUUAAUCCUUAGUAGUCCGGAUAGAACUUGUGUUCUCCUGUGCAGUGGGAAGCAGUCCCUGUUUUGAAAUAAAGACUGAAAGCUAACUUGUCAUUCACUUGGAUUAACUUUACAUGACCUUGCUAAACAACGCAUUACUAAUCAGCUCCCUUUGGAGGAAAGUCUAGAUAUGAACUUGCUUCCUCUCUGUUUUACCUGUUAGCAUGCUCAUGAUUCUAAAUUGGUUCAGUCUAAGUUGGCAUCUCACUUUUCAUAUUAUUCACUUCCUGAAGACAAAUGGAAUAAUAGAUUUGAGAAGAUGAAAAUAAACUGCAUGUCUAUCCGGCAGAUAGUCUCUUGAGUUGAUACCAAUAAUCUGUCCAUUCUCAGACAGUAUGCUCCUUUUUGCAAUUAUUUCAAAAAGUCUCUCUGUUUCCAGGUCGAUACUCCCUCUCCAAGCCCCA